CAGACUAUGACUCAUGAAGAAAAUCCCAGACAUAAGAUACAAGAAAAACAGCUAUAAAAUUACUAUAAAUUUUUUCAGUCUAUCCAUCCUAUCGAAGUGGUCCUGCUGUUCCCCACAUUCAAAGGAGAGGUUCUCAAACUUUUAGCAGCAAAUCCCUGAGAAAUAUUCUCCACUUUGUUUCUCACUUCAGCACCACAAGAAAAUUUUCAGAUCUGAAAUUUUUGACUGUCAGAUCUUUGAGAUGGAUGAAAGAAGAUGAAGUUCCUUCUUUAAAUUUGCAAGAGUUCUGCAUCCAGUGGCUUCCAUUGUGGUAUACAAUAUGUAUAAUUACUUAAACUAAAUAUGAAUACAAUACACACUAUAUCUCAUAACAAUAAAUAAAAGGACAAUGAAAUGAUGCAAUAUAAUCCUCUAAAAUGUCAACUACAAAAAUAUUAAUUGCUACCAGAAUCUCAUAAUG